rnacentral:rRNA from 1 species
GUUUGAUCAUGGCUCAGGAUGAACGCUGGCGGCGUGCUUAACACAUGCAAGUCGAACGGACCAUAUUCGUAUGGUUAGUGGCAGACGGGUGCGUAACACGUGGGUGACCUGCCCUCAAGUGGGGAACAACUCCGCUAACGCGGAGCUAAUACCGCAUAUGUUCACUCUUUCGGUAGGGUGAGUAAAGCAGCGAUGCGCUUGGGGAUGGGCCUGCGGCGGAUUAGCCAGUUGGUGGGGUAACGGCCUACCAAGGCGAUGAUCCGUAGGGGGCGUGAGAGCGUGGCCCCCCACACUGGCACUGAGACACGGGCCAGACUCCUACGGGAGGCAGCAGUGAGGAAUAUUGCACAAUGGGCGCAAGCCUGAUGCAGCAACGCCGCGUGAGGGACGAAGGCCUUCGGGUCGUAAACCUCUUUUCUGAGGGAAGAGUAAGGACGGUACCUCAGGAAUAAGUCUCGGCUAACUACGUGCCAGCAGCCGCGGUAAAACGUAGGAGGCGAGCGUUAUCCGGAUUUACUGGGCGUAAAGCGUGCGCAGGUGGCUUUGUGAGUCGGACAUGAAAGCUCCUGGCUUAACUGGGAGAGGCUGUUCGAUACUGCAAGGCUUGAGGUUGGGAGAGGGACGUGGAAUUCCCGGUGUAGUGGUGGGAAUGCGUAGAUAUCGGGAGGAACACCAGUGGCGCAAGCGGCGUCCUGGGCCCACACCUGACGCUGAGGUACGAAAGCGUGGGUAGCAAACAGGAUUAGAUACCCUGGGUAGUCCACGCUGUAAACGAUGUCAACUGGGUGUCGGUAGUUUUACACUAUCCGGUGCCGAAGCUAACACGUUUAAGUUGACCGCCUGGGGGACUACCGGCCGCCAGGCUUAUACUUCUAGGGGUUG